rnacentral:lncRNA from 1 species
CUGGUCAUUAAACCAACACUUACAAGGCCCAGCUUGUCCUGGCUGGGUUCGGUGCAGGACAUUGGAGACCAGGAAGAUAAGACACAGGCUCUGUCCUUCAACAACUCCCAGGUAUAUGACCAGAUGCACCUCUGCGUAUUUGAGAGCAGUGGUGGAAAAAGACUAAGAGUCCAUCAGGCAGCCAAGAGUCAGAAGGGUGUGGGGGAAAAUGGAUGCUAUAUGGUAAGGAAUGUAAAGUGACCUGUGGAAUGACAGCCCUAAAGAACUAACCCAAGAGUCUGAAGAAUGAGGGGAUGCCCAGCAGAGAUCUACAGGAGACACCAUCACCUCAGAAGAAGGUCUUGCUUUUUUUGUUCUUUUUUUUUUUCGUGUGUGUGUGUGUGUGACAGGGUCUCACUCUGUCACCCAGACUGGAGUACAGUGGUGCGAUCUCUGCUCACCGCAACCUCCGCUUCCCAGGCUCAACGAUUCUCCUGCCUCAGUCUCCUAAGUAGCUGGGAUUACAGGCACCUGCCACCACACCCAGCUAAUUUUUGUAUUUUUAGUAGAGGCAGGGUUUCACCCUGUUGGUCAGGCUGGUCUUGAACUCCUGACCUCAAAUGAUCCACCCGCCUGGGCCUCCUAAAGUGCUGGUAUUACAGGCAUGAGCCACCGCGCCCGGUCAAACAGACGUU